rnacentral:tRNA from 1 species
CACUAAGUAGCUAAAUGGGUAAGCGUUAGCCUUUUAAGCUGAAGAUUGGCGGUUGCCAACCGCUUUUAGUGA